CUGGGUCUCUAGCCUACGGUGGGUCCACCCUGUCCGUUUCAAAUGUAGAAAAAUCAACGCUAUUCGACUCACCGCAAGGACAGCUGGAUAAUCUGGAGGAAACCGAGAGCUUAUUGAAGAUAAGUAAGAGACACGCUGAGAUACAUCAUGUUGCAAAGGUAGU